rnacentral:rRNA from 1 species
GAAACCGUUUAGGGGUAAACCUGAGAAACUCGAAAGGUCGAAGGAAGAAAUUCAUUCGUGUCCAAUGAGAUUCUUGUAGAAUGAUUGGUGUCGGAAAGUGGACUUGUUCAUUUUUCGCCUCAUUUUAUAAGAUGUGUAUUUUGUUGGACGCGUGCACUUUUCUUCUGGUAGGACGUCGUAAUCCGUUGGGUGUUGAUCUACGGUUCAGAUGGUAGUCCGCUGAUGUUAUGAUUCUUUGAAUUAUAUAUUUGUGGUCCUCUGUAACCUGAUCAACUGGCUCGACGGUAUAAAAAAUGGUUUUGGGCCGCUUUUCAAAAGCGUUUGGCUUGUGGCAAGCAUGUUAAAUGUUUCGGUUUAACGGACCUAGUGCCGUGACUGAUCCUUAACAUCUGUUGGCUACUUUGUCUCGAACUGACCCGAAAUAUAUAUAUAUAUAUUAACCAAUUUACGACGAUAUAGCUUUGGGUAAUUUCAGGACCCGUCUUGAAACACGGACCAAGGAGUCUAGCAUGUACGCAAGUCAUUGGGAAUCACAAAACCUAAAGGCGCAAUGAAAGUAAACGUUUUCCUUUACGGUUAACGAUGGGAAGACGGGCGUUCUAACUUUAAUCGAGUUGACGUUCUGCAUUCCCGGGGCGUCUCAUUCUCAUUACGAGAAGAGGCGCACCAUGAGCGUACACGCUGGGACCCGAAAGAUGGUGAACUAUGCCUGGUC